CCACGAGAUCAGGAGAGACGGUUACAUCAGAUCCUAUCUAUUUGGGAUGGACAUCUAUCAUGCACGUUGAAGAGAUAAAUCAGUUGAGGUGAUUUGGGCAGCUCAUACACAGGUUAGACCUCAUGGAUGCCUCAGCUCAGCAUGGAGACAGACUCCUCAGCUCAUAUGGCAGUCUGCAAUCGUGUUGAUGAUCCAAGCACUUGAAAUAUCUUAUGAUGUAACGC
rnacentral:lncRNA from 1 species